ACAUGCUCUGUCUGCAUGCCUUUCUCUCUGAAAGAUUAGCAAUGAUGUGGGUUUAGACACUUCCGGAAUCCUGUAGACAACUUGAAAAAUGCCAUACCCCAUCCCUAAUUUAUACUCUGAUCUGUAAUUUUAUCCACAAUUGCUCCAGUUGAGCAUUCUGGCUCCCCGAUCUGAAAGCCUGCAAUUACUAUAUAAUUCUUCGCAAUUUUAGAUGUCCUAAUAUGGACUAUAAUUUUUGCGCAAGACAAUUUCCAGCUAUUUCAAGCAUCAACAUUGUCAAAGUUGUAUGUACAUAAUAAAUGGUAAUAUCAAUGCAUAGUUUUUAGCAUAACAUCUUGACUCGCGCGAUAAUUAUAUCCGUUUGGAGCCUACGCAAAAUUAGCCUGAAUUGCAUGCUAUAAAGAGGGAAAAUAAAGCCGGAUUUUUCAUUCCUGCUCGGAGAGCGUCUGUCAGCUCAGAGCCCCGCUAGAGGAGCACAUUCAUGGGACCCAAAGAGCCGGGACCCGCGCCAUGACUUCUGGAUGCUCUUUUCACAUUCUUCCCUGUCUCUCAAGAGCGAGAUUAGACAUCUUAUACACGAUGUUCUCCUUUAACAUGCCUCAAGUUAGAUGGCCUUUUCCUGCCCAAGUGGGAUCUAUUCAGCCUAAAUAAUCUGCACACCAGACCAGACAAUCAAAUGUCUGGUUACACGAGGCUAUCCGGAUUUCAACAUACAUUACCUCCAAGAUCACCAAGAGCGUGUCCACUGUGUCUUUAACUAAACACAACUUUAAAUAUCUCUUAGAUUCAGAGUUUGAGUCCGGAGUCUGCUGCCAUAUUAGUGUGAUUUCUGUGGUCAGGCAUUUUGAGC